UACGUGGGGUGCGAGCGUUAAUCGGAAUUACUGGGCGUAAAGCGUGCGCAGGCGGUUUUGUAAGCCAGAUGUGAAAGCCCCGGGCUUAACCUGGGAAUGGCAUUUGGGACUGCAAGGCUUGAGUGCGGCAGAGGAGACUGGAAUUCCUGGUGUAGCAGUGAAAUGCGUAGAUAUCAGGAGGAAUACCGAUGGCGAAGGCAGGUCUCUGGGAAUGUCCUGACGCUGAGGAGCGAAAGUGUGGGGAGCGAACAGG
rnacentral:rRNA from 1 species